GCGGCUUAAUUUGACUCAACACGAGGAAACUUACCAGGUCCACACAUAGUAAGGAUUGACAGAUUGAGAGCUCUUUCUUGAUUCUGUGGGUGGUGGUGCAUGGCCGUUCUUAGUUGGUGGAGCGAUUUAUUUGGUUAAUUCCGUUAACGAACGAGACCUCAGCCUGCUAACUAGCUAUGUUGAGGUAUCCCUCUGCGGCCAGCUUCUUAGAGGGACUAUGGCCUUCUAGGCCAAGGAAGUUUGAGGCAAUAACAGGUCUGUGAUGCCCUUAGAUGUUUUGGGCCGCACGC
rnacentral:ncRNA from 1 species